UCAGGGUUGUCGCCUGAUCAUCAGGAAGGCUCACCAGGAGGCCGGUGACUGUGAACACGCUGGGGAAGGUUGGACCUGAGUUUGAGUCCCUUGUCCUUCUGAGGGCCUUCAUUUCAGGACUCUGAAGCACCAGCAUUCUUUCCAUCUAGCAUCACUUUGGAACGUGGUUAGUGACGUAACUCAUCAGUGAACAACAUGGGCUCUAAAUUCUGACUUCAUCUUCGCAAACCGGGUGACCUCAAACAAACGAUAUCCUUCCUCUGGAGCUGUUUUCCAAUCUAUAAAAUAAGGAUAAUAUAAGUACGUGGCCAGCAUGAUUGCUGUGAGUAUUAAAUGUGAUGAUGCCUGCAAAAUACCGGUCUGUAGUGACUGUGCAGUAACUGUUAGCCAUCAGUACCAUUAUUCAUCUGCUGGAAAGUUCUAUGAGGUCAGUAGGGCAGUGGUUCCUGUUUUGAUAUGAACAAAGUAAGGACCCCAGUGGUGAAUUGAUUUGCUCAAGGUUGUACAAGACAGGCAGCCAAGUCAGAGGUCAAAUCCCAACCCUUGAGUCCAGAGCCUUUGGAUUUCUGCCCAACUUCUUGAGGUCAAGACCUGAGAAGCAAGUACUGGUGAAUGGGGUCCCCCACAGCUUGGAUGCUGUUUAAGAAUUCUGAGGAGAGGAGAUUCCCCUUGCUGGCUUCAGUUUUCAGUGUCAACAUUAAGUUAUGAUGAUGUAUGACAUGAGAUUGUGUCCCCCGCUGGCCCCUGAAAGAUGCGUGUCUUCUGAGGGCAGCUACAGAGGAUCCAUUUUGCUGUUCUCAGUAGGUCUGGGGUGACCUACUUGGGACACAAAGCUCGUUGCCCUCAUGAGCCAUUUCUCACAGCAGCCACACAGGGACUUCCUACAUACUUCUAGUUUGCCUGUAUGGUGCCCCCCGUUGGGGUGUCAUCACUUCAUUAAAAUACAGAAUUAAAGUUUGUCACUGGACACCCAGCCAGCUGUCAGGAUCCCCCCUCCUCCUGCCACUGUCACACACUUGGUACUUCCCAGUACAGUGUGGUGUUUAGGGAAUUCUGGAGUCAGACAGAUGUGAGUUCAAGGUCUAGGUGUGACACUAAAUGUGGACUUGGUUCAAUUUUUCAGCCUCUCUGAAUCUCCAUUUCUUCAUCAGUAAAAUGGGUAUUUGGAUAAUGAAAAGCAGGCAGAUAAUACAUCCUCGGACUCUGGUAGUUCAUGAGACUGUGUCAGUGAGCUAUGACUACACUAAUGUCACAUAACAGAUAAAAAUAAACCUUAGGGCACAUGACAAUCAGCAAUCCACAGAAGAACAAAUGUAAGUAGCCAACCCAAAUGUGGACAGAUUUCCCUGCGUUAGUAAACAAAGCAUGUCCAAUUAAAGAAAACCCAAGACACCAUUUUUCAUCUAUACUUAACUGGAACUUUUUAAAAGAUAGACUUUACUUUUUAGAACAGUUUUGAGAUUGCUAGAAAAUUUAAGAAAGACAGCACAGAGAGUUCCCAUACACCUCUGUUCUGGUUGGCUAUCACUAGCAUCUUACCUCAAUCGGGGAUAUUCGUUACAACAGAUGAAAUUAUACAGGUUCAUUGUUAUUAAUUAGAUGUAUGACUGUUGACGUUGACCUUGAUCGCCUGGCUAAGGUAGUGCUUGUCCGUUUUCUCCACUGCAAAGUUACUGCCCCCUCUUUCCAUACUGUGCACUUUACAAAGGAAUUCCAUGCACAGGUCUCUCCCUGGUUGAUGCCCCCUCAGCUCUCAGGAUCAGGGCAGAAAAAGGAAGAUGUGCACAGCUGACUCUCCCAGUUCAGGCCUCAUCCUGAUGCAGUACCACAUGACCUAUAUAGUGAGGGGUAUGUCUUCAAUAGCCAAUAUUUACUGAAUACCUACCUGGUGUUGAGUCUGGUGGUUGGCAGUGGAAUGCCAGGCUGUGCUAGACAGCCUCAUCCCUGCUCAGGGAGCUUACCCUGAAGUAGGAACAUUAGGGUGGGAGGCAUACCUGGGGCCACCCUUCCCCAACUUCACCACUGGAGACAGGGAGACCAGAGAGGACACUGCUGCACUCAUGGGUCUGUGAUGGGAUGAGCGUUGGUGGGAUGAUAGGAGAGCAGGGAAUCAGAGGCAACACUAGAGCUGAGGGCACCUGGGAAUGACGUGAAGAGUCCUCGGGUUUAGGCGAAGAUGUAGAAAAGUCCAUGAAACCAUAUAAACAGAGGAAGAUGGAGAUAAACAACAUGACCUGGGAGAAG
ensembl:lncRNA